UACAGAAGCCUCAAGCGUUACCCGGAUUUACUGGGCGUAAAGGGUGUGUAGGUGGUGUGAUUAGUCGUGUGUUAAAUCUCUGGGCUUAACCCGGAACUCGCAUACGAAACGGUCAUACUAGAGUAAGUGAGAGGUGUGUGGAACUCAUGGUGUAGGGGUGAAAUCCGUUGAUAUCAUGGGGAACACCAAAAGCGAAGGCAACACACUGGCACUUUACUGACACUGAAACACGAAAGCGUGGGUAGCGAAUCGG
rnacentral:rRNA from 1 species